rnacentral:rRNA from 1 species
UACGUAGGGGGCUAGCGUUGUCCGGAAUCAUUGGGCGUAAAGAGCGUGUAGGCGGCCCGGUAAGUCCGCUGUGAAAGUCGGGGGCUCAACCUCGAAUGCCGGUGGAUACUGUCGGGCUAGAGUGCGGAAGAGGCGAGUGGAAUUCCUGGUGUAGCGGUGAAAUGCGCAGAUAUCAGGAGGAACACCGGUGGCGAAGGCGGAUCUCUGGGCCAUUACUGACGCUGAGGAGCGAAAGCGUGGGGAGCGAACAGG